UCCUAGUAUAUCAUUUUGUUGCUUCUUUGAUACACCAUGUUCACAAUGUUUACUAAACUUCACAGAAUGACACUAGCGAAGAAAAAAUCAGUUUCAUAUCCAUAAGAAAUACAAAAUAGAAAAAGAGCCAUGAGUGAUGAAUUGUCACUCUUGAUAGGAAGCAGCGAGCCCAUGACGUCUUCAGUGACGUCUCCACUAACGCACAACAAGUAAAGAUUUGUAGGAACAAGU
rnacentral:lncRNA from 1 species